rnacentral:lncRNA from 1 species
UCCACUACAUAAUCAUUCAUUAUCUUUACAAUUAACCAUCUAAAGCUACCACAGUUCUUCAAUCAAAGUAUAUAUCUACAUAUAGAGAGAGUACACUUCAUAAUUUUGUCCCUUGUCUUCCGUAAACGUAGCACAAAAAUUUGAUACCCAGUAUUGUAAGGCAUGUCAUAGAAGCAGUUUUCCUGCACAUAUUUAAAAAUAAUAGCAAGUCAGAAAAAUGAAGCAAAUAGGUCACCAGAGGCACUUAGUGCCAAAAUCAAUACACAAAGACAAUGGAGUUGCUUCGUGGUACUAAUGCACACCGUAUUGCUCAUAAGCAGAAAAAGACAAAUAGGCAAUCACAAUAUCAUUUGCUACAAAUUCAAAUAGAAAAAGAACCUUCAGUGCGACUAUAUGAUUGCUCUGUUACAAGAAAAAAUUGAAAUCUUAAUCAGCCAUUUCAUGAAUUAAUUUCAGUAAGCAUAGUGAUAAACAUAUUUUCUAUUACAAGACUUGUAGAUUAUUAUUAUAUGUUGACCUCAAGUCAGAAUUCAGUCACAUUCAACAACCACAAGCAUCACACAAUCUUAAAUACCAUCACACAAUCUUAAAUAACAAUGUUUAGAUUUCUAUAUAGAAAGGACAACAAUUAUUGAAAAGUUAAGGCUAUUAAUCAAUGUGGAAAAACUUUUCUUGAGAUGACAAAUUUACAUACAGUAUAUGCCCCAAAGAUGCUAGCUAUAAUCACAGACAUCAUAGAUUUAUUUACCAAGAAUUCAACAUGUUGCAGCAGACAUUGCAAAGACACAUUUAUUGAUAACUUGAGAAUUUUUAAGUGGUAAGGGUAGAACAUACCCAGGUCAGCGAGAUAAGUUCCUCCCUUUCAUAAUUGGGUCCCACAAGAAGUCCCUGAUGAAGAAUAGUCCCUGAGGGUUGGUAUGGUCACAUCUUAAAUGUCGACCAUCUCUCAUUUUGAUCAUGAAACCAUCAGAACUGCUCUUCACCUCAACUAUAUUGAAAAAAAGAUGAAACACAUAAAUAGAUUAUAUGCUAUUUUGCAUAUACUUCAUAUGUUAAAUCACAGAAAAAUUAAAAACCACCAAAAUUAUAGUAUAUUGCUUGCAACAUCCAGCUGUGAUAUUUUAAGCAAAAUAUUAGCAAAUAUAUGAGGAACUUUAACUAUUGUAAAAUGGAAAUGAAACUGACUUCACAAAGAUGAGACAUCUAUUUCGAUGCCAAAAAUUAGUCUGAAAAUUUGUUUCUAUUAACCAAUCUUAUAGUAUUUUAACAACUAGCUUGCAUAAAGAGGAAAUCAAAAGAAUAAAUUUUCAUGUUUUGUUUCCAGCUUUUUCCCAAAAAAGUAAAUCAACAAUAAAACUAUGCUCUCAAACUGCUGCAAAUAUUUUAAUUAACCUCAUCAUCAUUCGUGCUCUCUGCAAUUCUCUGAACUACAGGGAGAGAAUUCUUGCACUUCUUCAACAUGCUCACUAUCAAAUCUUCUUGCAAUUAUGAUAACAUAGUAGAUGUUUAACCAUAGCAGAUUUCCAACUGAAAUUAUGAAAUUAUUUUAACCUGCUUUUCAUAGCCCUUCACUGCAUGACAUCCCUUCAGAAGCACUUGGAUUAUUUCUAACUGAAAGAAAAUUCAAAUGAAGUUAGGUCUAAUGAGAGGCAUCAUUCAUAAAACCACAUAAACAUUAAAAUUGCAAAGCAUAACAAUGAUCAAUUUUGUAAAUGAUCUCCAUUAUUGUCAGUCAAAGUUUGAAAUUUUGUUGCUAUGAUGAAUUUUAACACGUUUCCAAAUCAAAUACAGUUCUUAAGACAUCUUUUAUAUAUUAACACAUCUUUUCCACCUAUUUCUCAGCGGUUUGACAACAUGUUUGCUAGGGGGAUGCUCUGAUAUAGUGAUAUGAAAUAUAAGUUGUGAUAUCUUGUUCAUUCAAAUAGAGUUAGGUAUUUUCUGCUCAAAUCAACUCCUGAAACCUGAUAACCUUUACCUUUUAUUUGCAAGAGAUGGAAGAUAGCUCGAUUCAAGUUUACUUAUCUAUGAACCUUUCUAACAAAUGAUAGAGAAACAAUUCAUGGAAAAGAAAAAUAAUAACUACUAGCCAAACUCAAACCAUGUUUGCAAUCAUGUGCAUUAUAUAUGUUUGUGUUAAAACAGUUUUAUUUAAUUUCCAUUUUUUUUACAAGUAAUAGAAAAGUUUUCAAUUUGUACACAUAAUUAUAAAGAAAGAAAAAAAAAGUAUUCAGUACCCAAGCAUUGACGGAAAAUUUUAUGGUUUGCCAAUUCAAGUGCAAAGAAGUUAGAGUGGAGGCUGGAGCUGUAGAGUGGAGGCUGGAGCUGUAGAUGUAUUUUAUGAUAACCUGAGCUAUGCUGCCGUGUUUGAUCAUUUGGAGUUGAUGAUGAUGGUUGUGCUUGAUGGUCUCGUUGGCUGAGAAGAACUACUUGUAGACAUUGCCUUAACAAACAAAUCAGGAUCAUGCAUAUCAUAAAAUAAAAAACCACCAAGAUGCUUUUGUUAUUCUUCUUAGUUGUUAGAUUCAUCUUAAUGCGUAUUUAGAUGUUUUAUAUCGAACACAUCAUUUCAUUUUAUAUUCAGAGCUUUUAUUGCAUUUAACUCAUUUAGAUUCUCUUAUACAUUCAUAACUCUAUUGCAUUAACAAAUCGAUUAAUAUCCAAAAUGGGAUUGGAAGAGCUUACAGCUAAACAUCUGCUCUAAAUUAUAACCACAACUGGCAUAACCUGACUCAUAUUGCAUAAAUCAUAAAACUCAUAUUGCACGAAUUAUAUAUAACAUGAGCUGAUAGCUGAGGAACCAUGUAGAAAUUAUUAUUUUGGUGGCGCCACAUGUUAAAAGCAUGCUUUGCACGGGCAUAUAACGGACAAACAUGUAAUCUAUGAUUAUGGCAAUAUACUGAAUCUAAGAAUAUGAAGGGCAGUAACACAUAAAAUAAUGAAAAUAUUAUGUAAAUAAUUCAAAACAAUCAACCACUCAAACAGAGGCCAUAUGCAUGACACUUCAGACUCGAGCAUAUUAUGCAUGCCUUUCAACUAGAACUACAAGAUCAAUAAACUAACCCAGACUAAUUUUGCAUAGAAACAAGAAAAUCUUUAACCGAAGGGUCAUUCGGAUCAACUCCAGGGAGCUGUCAAACCAACAAAGCACCAUAAAAAUCUUAAGGAGAUAAUUCUAUUAUUACAAGUCGUCACUUCUUUAGUUGAUCGAACCCACGCACACAAGUUGACAAGAAUAAGGAGAAAAUAAUGGUUGAGUGUUCCAUAAUACUAAUAGGUGAAAAUGGCAUCUUAGAAACAUACCGAAGCAAAGGAUAGAUGACACAAAUGAUUGGUCUGCCAACAAAUUACUCAUAUCUGUCUGGCUUGAUUGAUCUCUCGCACCUUCCUGCAUAGAUAAUUGGAGAGCUGCAACUAGUAAAGACAUGAAAUCAAACAGCUGAAGAGGGAAGAGGGAAGAGGGGGAAUAGAUGAUAUUUGCCUAGGUGUAGUCGUGUAGAAGACUCUAAAAGUAGGGUUGUCAGAUAUUCUCAUUAACCUAGUAUUGACUUAGUGAACCGUAUAUUAGUACUUGCAUACCCAAACAUGAUACUCACACGUACCAAUACUCUAAAUUUAGUUUACUGAAAUAUUUCUUUAAUGUUUUAUCUAUAAUUGCACAAAAUAUCAAUAUUAUAAUAAUGUCUCAUAUUGUUUAGCGAGGAGUAUCGACAAAUCUUGCUGAGAGUAUUGGAUUUAUAACUUGAAUGACAUUUAUACUAAAUUAUCUAUAAAACAAGACUCAACUAAAAAAAAUUCUGUACACAUUGGUUUACUACAUUCAAAUUCUAAAAGAAUUCCCAACCAUAAAAACUUAUAUAAAGUACCCUAUCGUAUCGCGUUUCAGCUAGACUGCAUAGCUGUUCGUACCACGUACCGAACGAAUCACAUUUCAGGUAACACUGCAGUCUAAAGUAAUUCAAGGAUCCUAUGUUCCAUAUAUAUGCUUUAGAUUCAGCAUAGCUAAGUAAUUGUAUGCGACAUGCUAGUAAUUUCAGGCCUCACUUGGUAUGAAGGAAAAAAAAUUCUCAAAAAUGGUUAUCUCAUUACUUUAAUAAAUCUCCGAUAGUGAAAAUCUAGAAAUAUAUUUUGUAAAGCUUUUGUGGUAUGUUAAGAAUAUUGUUCAAAGAUCUUAAUUUUAGUCAAGUAGAUAAGCCUUAUAUAUUCUUUUAUUAAUUCUUUGAGGGUGGAGAAAAAGAUUACUGCACCAUGAGUAAUGAAUGAAAUACCAACUCUAUGUGAUAAAUCAUAAAUGAAAUAUGAACAAUUAUGUGCACCAAAGGCCAUAAAUUAUCAGUAGAAACGACAUUUCAUUUUCCACUCUCGAUUCCUAAAGAAAUAAGGCCUCAGUGUUUUGGGCAAUUUCCUGCACCCAAGAAAUAAAUUUUGGUAUAACAUGUAUGACAAUUUCCUUCAGCCGUAUUCAUAUUAUCUGACUAUUAUAUUUCAGGUACUGAAACCACAAAGACGUUCUCCAGAAGUUGGGUGAAGCAAUGGGUCUUGCGGUUCCAGGAGAUGCUGACACUUCUGCUGAAACCUCUGGGUUAGAUGAAACUGAUGAAGUGGAAAAUGAGGAUGAAUCCAUUGUUCAUCACACUGCUAGUGUCAGUGAUGUGGAGGUAAAUCAUUUCUGUGUUUACUCUUGUCCUUGGUGCUUGGUGCUAUUAGUUCAUUACAACUUACAAAUGUAUUGACAUUUUUUAUAAUAAUUUUAAUCAAAGUCAAAAUGUGGAAGAAUUUUGUUCGUCGAAGUAGUAUGAACUAUCACUCCUCUCGCAUUCUUUUUCCUUUCUAAUAAAAUUCCCUCUUUUUAUGGAAGUAAAAAGUAGGUGGAUUAAUUAAUUGCUCGUCUUUUGUUACUUGGUAAUUAUUACUAGCUUUUACCAUUUUUUUAGUUCUCGAGAUUAUGAGUUAAAGUACGUUAUUGGUUAUGAGUUUGGUUGUUUUUACAUACAUAUAUACUUGUUUAUCACAAUUGUUUUGUAUUUACUAUUUAUGUAGUUGAAGUGACAGAGAUUUAUCAUGAAGUACUAAACCAACAAGUUCGUUCAUCUUUUUAACUUGUUUGUACUAAACCAAAAGGGUCCUAAGAUUUCCUGUUUGUUCUUUCGUCAACAUGUAUGGAUCAACAUGUGAUUGAUUUUUAGUACGUAGCACGCCCUCUCCAUCACUGUUUGAUCGAUAUAGGAAAUUAAAAGGAUCCCCACUGGAUAGGAGAGGGAAGAAUUCUGACAAUAAUCAAGUACAUAAUUAAAAUUUUGAAACCCCAUUUAAUUCUGUAAUCAGCACAAAGAUGAACUCAUAAUACACAUCAAAUGAGCUCAGCAUUAAACCAGAGCAAGAACAGCUUAAACAAAAAUUCUCUAAAUCCCCAAUUUAUACAUAACAUCAUAAAUUUCUUAAAUUGAAACCUAAAUAUGUGUGUAAGUUUACUUUAGAUUUAAUUUGUGUGUGAAAGCAAAAUUACAAGCUAUUGUGCGUGUUAGUGUGUGUAAAAUUGGGAAAAAGGUCAAAUUGAAUACUAACCGUUACCUACAGGUAAUAGAAGAUAACAAUGGAAGAGAAUGAGGCAAAGCAAGCCGCCGUUGUCGUCGAAAAUUGCAGAAAUUGGAAUUGGCACUUCUUUUUUUGCUAAACUAGGGUAAUAAUGAGUGGGAGGAGAGAAAGGGGAAAUAGAGUAGUGAGGCGGAGGAGAGUGGCUGAGGAGGGUGAGAGAGGAGGAGGAUGAGGAGGCAGCAGGAGAAUGAGAGAGGAGGAGGCGGUAGAUCGAGUAUCAUUUCUCAAGUUGAUCGCUCAUAGUCCAUUUGAAUAAUUU